UAGAACUCAAAGAAACUUGUUGAACUCAGUUUGCUUCUUGUUCCAUUAGGAUAAACCUGAGAGAGACACUACUUUGCCAACCGAGAUAUGCCAGAAACUUGAAGACGAUUUGAGCUAGUGAUAUCAAUUAGAGGACCAGAUGGUCCAGAUUCAUCCAAUCAUUGAUAAAGAGCCCGUACCAACCUGAUAAACGAAGAUACAUCAAAACACGAAGAGUACCUGAUCAGCCUCUUCCACAUCUAGUUUAAACUGCAUACAUGCAUACAUGCAUACAUGCAUACAUUCAUAUAUGCAUACACAUGCAUAUAUCAUACAUUCAUGCAUAUAUUUGCUUUCUUGAUUUUUUUAUUAGAUCAUUGCUUGCUUCUUUAGUACAUUUGUUAACAACUUGUUCUUGUUUGUUUCUUGUGCUUAUCUCAGUUCGUAACGUGCUUGCUUGUUUCUUGCACUGAUUGCUUACAUGUUUAGCUUGUUCAAUUAAUUCCUUCUUUGUUUCAUUGAUUAUUUGAUCGUUGCUUGACUUGUUUGUUUGUUUCUUCUUGGUUCCUUGAUUUACUUUACUUCAUUGGGCAGCCUUCUUCUUGGAUACUCGCUUACUUAAUUGUUUCAAUCAUUUUCUUUACACAUUCGUUUGCUUGUUUCCUUCCUUGAUCCUUUGGUUUUUCUUUUUCUUUUUUACUUUCGUCACUAUUUCUUACUUGAACUUCUCUACUUGUUUCGUUGUUUGCUUACGAUUUUCAUUUGGUUUCUCGCUUUCUUUUGCUUUCUUUACUUCUUCCAUAGUUCCAUUGCUUGCUUAGACGUAAUUGUUUAAGAAAACAUCUCCCCAACAUCCUCCUUGUUCUUGCAAAUUCCAUUACUUAAUUCCGUUUAUGCGUAUCUCUUAAAAUAUCUACAACUCUAUAGCGAAAUUUUAUAAUCCACACUAUACAAUUAAUUUGCUUUAUAUAUGACAUGUUUAGCAAAAAAAAAAACAAUUUGCUUUAAUUUGUUUUUUAUCCCCU
rnacentral:sRNA from 1 species